GAUGAAGAACGUAGCGAAAUGCGAUAACUAAUGUGAAUUGCAGAAUUCAGUGAAUCAUCGAAUCUUUGAACGCACAUUGCGCCCCCUGGUAUUCCGGGGGGCAUGCCUGUUCGAGCGUCAUUACAACCCUCAAGCUCUGCUUGGUAUUGGGCCCCGCCAGUUCUGGCGGGCCCUAAAGUCAGUGGCGGUGCCUUCCGGCUCCGAGCGUAGUAAUUCUUCUCGCUCUGGAGACCCGGUUGUGUGCUUGCCAACAACCCCCAAUUUUUUAAGGUUGACCUCGGAUCAGGUAGGGAUACCCGCUGAACUUAAGCAUAUCAAUAAGCGGAGGA
rnacentral:misc_RNA from 1 species